AUAGCUGAUUGCACCAACAAAUAGUUGAUGCAAUAUUGACUCUGUCAAAUAAAAUUCUAGGUAGAAUUAUGAUAAUGACAUUGUCUGCCUAUAUGUCUUGACCAAAUUACGUGCCAGCAGUCGCGGUAAUACGUAGAAGACUAGUGUUAUUCAUCUUUAAUAGGUUUAAAGGGUACCUAGACGGUAAAUCAAGCCUUCACAGGGACUAAUUUACUAGAGUUACUUACGAGGGGGUAUUAAAGUACUGCAGGUGUAGAGAUGAAAUUCUGUCAUACCUCUUUUCAAAAGAAAAAUUAUGGCACAGGUAUAGGUGAAAGCAUCCCCUUAUGUGAUAACUGACGUUGAAGGACGAAGGCUUUGUGUCGCGAACAGGAUUAGAUACCCCAGUAGUCAAAGCAGAAAAUGAUGAAUGUCAUAGAUUAGAUAAAUAGUUUAUUCUAUAAAUGAAAAUGUAAGCAUUCCACCUCAAGAGUAAUUUGGCAACAUUGGAACUGAAAUCAUUAGACCGUUUCUGAAACCAGUAGUGAAGUAUGUUGUUUAAUUUGAUGAUCCGCAAAAAACCUUACCACAAUUUGAAUAUUUAUAUAUAUCUUUUUUUUUCGUAAAAAAAUAAAAAGGUAAUAUAUUUACAAGCGUUGCACGGCUGUCUUCAGUUAAUGUCGCGAGACUUUGGUUAGUUCCAUUAAAUUAACGUAAACCCUUACUUUAUUUUCAUAUGAAGUAGUUCCCCGCUAUAUUGGAUAUGAUAACAGGGACUAAGAC
rnacentral:rRNA from 1 species